rnacentral:rRNA from 1 species
AGAGGGUGCAAGCGUUAAUCGGAGUUACUGGGCGUAAAGGGCGCGUAGGCUGAUAUUUAAGUCGAUUGUGAAAUCCCCGGGCUUAACCUGGGAAUUGCAUUCGAUACUGAAUAUCUAGAGUAUGGUAGAGGAAAGUAGAAUUCUCGGUGUAGUGGUAAAAUACGUAGAUAUCGAGAGGAAUACCGGUGGCGAAGGCGACUUUCUGGACCAAUACUGACGCUGAGGCGCGAAAGCGUGGGGAGCAAAC